rnacentral:rRNA from 1 species
UACGUAGGGUGCAAGCGUUAAUCGGAAUUACUGGGCGUAAAGCGUGCGCAGGCGGUGAUGUAAGUCAGGUGUGAAAUCCCCGGGCUUAACCUGGGAACUGCAUUUGUGACUGCAUCGCUGGAGUGCGGCAGAGGGGGAUGGAAUUCCGCGUGUAGCAGUGAAAUGCGUAGAUAUCAAGCGGAACACCGGUGGCGAAGGCGACCUGCUGGACAGUGACUGACGCUGAGACGCGAAAGCGUGGGGAGCAAACAGG